rnacentral:rRNA from 1 species
UACGAAGGGGGCUAGCGUUGCUCGGAAUGACUGGGCGUAAAGGGCGCGUAGGCGGUUUAUGCAGUCAGAUGUGAAAUCCCCGGGCUUAACCUGGGAACUGCAUUUGAGACGCAUAGACUAGAGGUCGAGAGAGGGUUGUGGAAUUCCCAGUGUAGAGGUGAAAUUCGUAGAUAUUGGGAAGAACACCGGUGGCGAAGGCGGCAACCUGGCUCGAUACUGACGCUGAGGCGCGAAAGCGUGGGGAGCAAAC